rnacentral:rRNA from 1 species
GAUGAACGCUAGCGGCAGGCCUAACACAUGCAAGUCGAGGGGCAGCACAGAAACAGCAAUGUUUUGGUGGCGACCGGCGGACGGGUGCGUAACGCGUAUGCAACCUACCUUUAACAGGGGGAUAACGGAGAGAAAUUUCCACUAAUACCCCAUAACAUCGAUCAAGGCAUCUUGAUUGGUUGAAAACUCCGGUCGUUAAAGCUGGGAAUGCGUUGUAUUAGGUAGUUGGUGAGGUAAUGGCUCACCAAGCCUACGAUACAUAGGGUGACUGAGAGGUUAGCCCCCCACACUGGUAAUGAGACACGGACCAGACUCCUACGGGAGGCAGCAGUGAGGAAUAUUGGUCAAUGGGGGCAACCAUGAACCAGCCAUGCCGCGUGCAGGAAGACGGCUCUAUGAGUUGUAAACUGCUUUUAAACAGGGAUAAAGCACAGUAUGUAUACUGUGUUGAAGGUACUGUAAGAAUAAGGAUCGGCUAACUCCGUGCCAGCAGCCGCCGUAA